GAUUUCUGGUUUGAUGCGUUUGGCCCUCUCGGAGCAAUCCGGCGUGCGUGCCGAUGCGCGUCUGCCAUCCCUUGCAGAGAACGUUUCUACCCUUCACUGGGCCGGAUUCGCAAUCUGCAUCUUUUACUUUGAAAAAAUUAGAGUGUUUAAAGCAGGCUUGUGCUAUGAAUACAUUAGCAUGGAAUAAUAAUUUAGGACUUUGGUUCUAUUUUGUUGGUUUCUAGGACUGAAGUAAUGAUUGAUAGGGAUAGUUGGGGGUGCUAGUAUUCAGCGGCCAGAGGUGAAAUUCUUGGAUUCGCUGAAGACUAACUUAUGCGAAAGCAUU
rnacentral:rRNA from 1 species